rnacentral:tRNA from 6 species
GGAGAGGUGGCAGAGUGGUCGAAUGCACCGCUUUCGAAAAGCGGCAGGGGCGCAAGCUCCUCGGGAGUUCGAAUCUCCCCCUCUCCGCCU